GCUUGCACUCAGCGUUUUAAGUGCGAGUGGCGAACGGGUGAGUAACACGUGGGCAAUCUGCCCAAAAGUGGGGGAUAACACUUGGAAACAGGUGCUAAUACCGCAUCAACCGGCUGACCGCAUGGUCGGCCGGGCAAAGACGGCGUCAGCUGUCGCUUUUGGAUGAGCCCGCGGCGUAUUAACUAGUUGGUAAGGUAACGGCUUACCAAGGUGAUGAUACGUAGCCGAACUGAGAGGUUGAUCGGCCACAUUGGGACUGAGACACGGCCCAAACUCCUACGGGAGGCAGCAGUAGGGAAUCUUCCACAAUGGACGCAAGUCUGAUGGAGCAACGCCGCGUGUAUGAAGAAGGUCUUCGGAUCGUAAAAUACUGUUGUCAGAGAAGAACACGUGAUAGAGUAACUGCUAUGACGCUGACGGUAUCUGACCAGCAAGUCACGGCUAACUACGUGCCAGCAGCCGCGGUAAUACGUAGGUGGCAAGCG
rnacentral:rRNA from 2 species